GAAUCUCUAGUCGGUGGGAAACAAAACCUGUUUUUCUUUCAGGUAUAAAUGGAGGAAUUCCAUGUUCAACAGAUACUAAAGGAGGAACUCCAGGGUCAACAGGUAGCUGGUCUUAUCAAUUUGGGGGAAAUCAGCCGGCGAAUGGACUUGGUAUAAAUGGAGGAAUUCCAGGUUCAACAGGUAUAAAUGGAGGAAUUCCAGGUUCAACAGGUAUAAAUGGAGGAAUUCCAGGUUCAACAGGUAUAAAUGGAGGAAUUCCAGGUUCAACAGGUAUAAAUGGAGGAAUUCCAGGUUCAACAGGUAUAAAUGGAGGAAUUCCAGGUUCAACAGGUAUAAAUGGAGGAAUUCCAGGUUCAACAGGUAUAAAUGGAGGAAUUCCAGGUUCAACAGGUAUAAAUGGAGGAAUUCCAGGUUCAACAGGUAUAAAUGGAGGAAUUCCAGGUUCAACAGGUAUAAAUGGAGGAAUUCCAG